ensembl:lncRNA
GCAAGUAGGCCAGUCACAGGGCCCCAUUCUCCUUGGUACAAUGGUUGGGUUGGGUCUUGCACAUGUGAUGGGCUGGUCAAUCAAGCCUCCACCAUCCCCAGCACUGCUGAUGCAGCGGAUAGGGACCACUGGCUUCCUCCUUCCGAAGUCCUUUCCCUGGAAGAUGCUGGGUCUUCAUCUGCUCCCACGUCUGGAGGUACAGCACAGACAGCUCUUGAAGAAAUGGAUGUCUAAUGGGUACUUUGAAGAGGACCUCACUCUACUCUGUUCCUGGGCUCCCAUCACCAUGAAUGCUGUCCCUAUCCACCUCAAGCUCCAGAGACAGAAAAUUCAGUCAUCUUUACCUUCUCUCCUUAAAUCAUUCUACUGAAUAUUCUGCUGUUCUGUUCUGGAAAGGUUUCACCCAUCUGUCCCUUCUCCCACCCUCUUGCCAUUGCCUUAGCUCAGGCCACCUUCAACUCAAGGCAACGGCUUCAGUCUGUCCUCUCUUCCCUCUUCUUGCCUUUAAAUAUCCUCUACAC